CGCAAAAAGUGCAAAUCAAGCAGCUUUCAACAUUCCAGUGGGAAAUGCAAACUUUCUGAAAUAGCAAUCCAACAAGCAGGAAACUCGGUUGUCACACAAACUGGAACUGAUAUGAGUGAUGAAUUAGACUGGCCUUCAACUGUCCAAGCCCGCCAACUGUUGCCGACGCCCAACCUGCCUUCAUAACAUCCUACGAGACGAUAAAAGUAGGAAGUCAACUGACUUACACUUGUGAUUUUAACUUCCACCCAGUUGGUAAUAGAACCUGUCUCCCAGACGGCACAUGGUGUGACUUCAAAUGUGAACUUGGUCACUGCCCAAUCGAAGACGGGUACAUACUACUUGAAAAUGUGUGCAUCAAGGUGACACGUGAUAGGACACAAGUUGCUAGAGCACGUGCGAAAUGCAACCAGUCAGGUGACAGAUUGGUG